rnacentral:rRNA from 1 species
AAGUCGUAACAAGGUUUCCGUAGGUGAACUGCGGAAGGAUCAUUACCGAGUGUAGGGUUCCUAGCGAGCCCAACCUCCCACCCGUGUUUACUGUACCUUAGUUGCUUCGGCGGGCCCGCCAUUCAUGGCCGCCGGGGGCUCUCAGCCCCGGGCCCGCGCCCGCCGGAGACACCACGAACUCUGUCUGAUCUAGUGAAGUCUGAGUUGAUUGUAUCGCAAUCAGUUAAAACUUUCAACAAUGGAUCUCUUGGUUCCGGCAUCGAUGAAGAACGCAGCGAAAUGCGAUAACUAGUGUGAAUUGCAGAAUUCCGUGAAUCAUCGAGUCUUUGAACGCACAUUGCGCCCCCUGGUAUUCCGGGGGGCAUGCCUGUCCGAGCGUCAUUGCUGCCCAUCAAGCACGGCUUGUGUGUUGGGUCGUCGUCCCCUCUCCGGGGGGGACGGGCCCCAAAGGCAGCGGCGGCACCGCGUCCGAUCCUCGAGCGUAUGGGGCUUUGUCACCCGCUCUGUAGGCCCGGCCGGCGCUUGCCGAACGCAAAUCAAUCUUUUCCAGUUGACCUCGGAUCAGGUAGGGAUACCCGCUGAACUUAAGCAUAUCAA